CGCUCUCGUUCUCGCUCUGUUCCUUCUUCUUGCAAAGCCCCAUCACUGCCUGUCUCUAGGGUUCAUGGAAGCCGACACCCGGAGCCACUUGUCCGCCGCUUCCAAGAGCCGCCAUCCGGCUUUGCAAUCCCGAUACGAUGCGUAUCUCGGGUUCGAGGAGUUGGAUGGAGGGGAGGACGAACCGCGACCGGAGUUCGCUUGCCCGUUCUGCUCUGAGGUCUUCGAUGUCGUGGGGCUGUGCUGCCACAUGGAUGAUGAGCAUCCGGUCGAGGCUAAGAACGGGGUGUGCCCUGUUUGUGCAGCUAGGGUUGGGAUGGACAUGGUUGGCCACAUAACUACACAACAUGCAAAUUUUUUAAAAAUACAGCGUAGGAGGAGAUACCACAAAGGAUCCUGGGGGUCCCACUCUACAAUUCUUUUGUUGAGAAAGGAUAAUACACUGGAAGGCAAUAUGCAAUCACUUGUGGGGGGUUCUUCUUUUACUCCCUCCAGUGCUGCACCUGAUCCAUUGUUGUCGUCAUUCAUUUUUAAUUUGCCAGUGAUUGAUCCAUCAGAAGAUGCCCGGCCUGAACCUUUGGAUGAACGAAGUAUGGAUGAUAAAAUUUCAGAGGAGAAAUUGGUUGAGAGUGUUGUGCCAUGUCCACUACACCAAGAUCGGGAGGAGAGUGCUCGGAGGAGCGAGUUUGCGAGCCAGAUUGUGAUCUCUACAAUAUUCGACGACACAUUAUGAACUCCUCCAGCUCUCAUGGUGGCAUCAGCAGCAGCUCACGAGACAAUCUGGACAUGGUUAGAGGUUGCUGCAAUGGUGAUACCGGACCUGAACCAGAGAGCAUCGUGAACUCGAAAGACAGUUCACUUCCCUGAGCCUCUAAGAACGAUGAGGUGCCCUUCGAACGACCGCGCCGCUUGCGAAGAGCAAUCUCGAACUUCCCCUUCGUUGUUGCAGCGGAUGGCGAGCCUUACGGAGUGCAGACGAAGUUCCUGGAGUCGUAAGGACG